CAAAGAACUUUCGCAAACCGGAACACUCACUUCUGGGUUUGCGGUGUUCAGGAGCCAAGACAUUCAAGUUGCAAGGCGUUUGGCAACCAAGGCCAUCAGAACCUGUGCAAAAGAGAACCAGGGUCAUCUUUUUUGGGAGUGGCUGUGUGAUGCUACCCUGAAAUACACCUGGACAAGUCACCAACAAGCUCCAGAAGGCCACUUCAAGGAUGCUCUUCGGACCCAUGUGCUAGAAUCCCCAGGUGCUCUACUGUGUCCAGACAGAGAAUUCAAGUACAAACUACGCAUUCUGCUUAAUGCAUCGGCGCAACAAGACAAGAACCCACCGACAGCAUACAAAUCAAUAUGGCUAACUUGACCCAACAACCCCUCUCCCCACACACAAACAAAACUCACUGCAGUCAACUGAAGGUAACCAACCAUGCCCUGCUCCCCCCCCCAAAAAAAAUAUUUCUCACUUAAUUAUUCCAAACUCCAUAUCUGCUGUUUAACAUCAGGCAAAAAACAUCCCUCUUCAGUCAGGUCUUUGGCUGAUGACAUCUGGUACCCUUUUAAAUAUGCUGUGGGGAGAGGGAGGGUUUGGGUAGUUUUUAUUAUGUAUUUUGUGGGGGGGGGGCUUUUUAUAUAUUGUAUCUUUGUGUUGUGAACCGUCCUGGGAUCUGCAAAUUUAAUAAAUGACCAUGAUAAUCUGUGUGAAGUUGUUGGGAGAAGCCCCUACAGGACUUGGAGAAUAGUGUCAUUAGUACAUUGAUGACAUCCCAACUCUAUUUCUCAGUUACAUCCACGCCAAACAAGUUGGCUUUCAAAUAAGGCAGGCAUUGGCUGCAAUGUCAUUUCAGUGCUUGCAACCACACCUGGAAUACUGUGUACAAUUCUGGUUGCCUCACCUCCAAAAGGACACUGCAGAGCUAGAAAAGGUUCAGAACAGGGCAAGGGAAAUGAUCAAGGGCAUGGAGCAGCUCUUGCAUGAGGAAGUUGCAACAUUUGAGGUUUUGUGUUGGAAUCCUGGCAGCCAAGACCCAAGUCUGGGGCAAGUGCUCUUUGGUGAGCGAGCCCCAGCAGAGGGGCUAUUGUCACCUUCCCUAUCAGAAGCAAGGAGCAGGUAGUGAUAUAUCCUUAACUAUUGUCAAGGAAGAUAGAUGUUCAAGAGAUCUAGGGCGUUGACUGCAUUAUAUUGUUUGCUGGUUUUAAACAUUUCUAGGCAUUUCCAAAACACUCAAAUCAGUUUACAUAAAAUAUGUAAUCCAGUUCUAAUGGCCUUAAAACAAACUCAUAGAAGUUAAUAACCUGUAAAAAAAUAUCUACUAGCCUGCUGGGGUUGGCAGGUAAGGGAUGGAGAGAGCUGGUGCAAAGGCAAGAACUUCCUUCCUCUAGCAGCUCACCUGGUUUCUACAUUUAGGUGAGGGGAGAGACACUCACUUGCAUGCAAUUGCUUUCCACCAGUGGCUAACUGUGGGUGUGCUUAAAUACAAGGCUGAAUUACA